AUGGUGAAUUGCACAUGGCUGGGAGGAACACUGAGUUUUGCUUCCUUAUGCAUCCCUUCUGAUCCCCUCUUUCUCCAGCAAUAUUUCACUGGUUGCAAUUCUGCAGAGCCUUUGGGUCUGGCUGCCCCCUUGACAUCUGCUGUGUUUGUGAAGAGGGAGCAGGGAACUGGAUCUGAUGUCUCACUUGUGAGUGAAAAGAAAAAUUGUAUUCUGCUCCAAGCCACUGAUCUGUCUGCAGGGUUGUGACUUCGGGGACUACCCUGAGACUGAUUCUCAGCGCAGCCCUCAUGGCCAGCAGAUGGAUCAGUGAAGCACUUCUACUUUGGAGCUCCCCACACAAGAUAUAUUUAUUAAAUUCUGAUUUUCCCUUCUCCCCUUUUUGAUGAAGACAGAAUUCCUAUUGCUAUUCCUAUUGACCAAGAGAAAGACGGCUGGGAAAGUAGCUUAUGAUUUUAGUGGCUUGGGCUUCUGUCCUGACAGAAGGGGCUUCCUAGGUGGUUAAAUGACUGAAAGUGCGUAUUUGAACAAGCACUUGUCCAAGGAUCCCACAACCACAGUAAUGUACACUGUACUUGAGAUGUCUGUAUACCUAAAUAGCUGGUGCAUAAGAAAGUUUAGAAGUUUUCCAGUCCCCUUACCUAAAUGUGACAACUGCAGGAAAGAGAGAGUGAAUGAUUUACAUCUGCUGUAAGGCGUAAGUAAGGAGAAAUGAGUUUGCUCCACUUUGAAUUAGGUAGAGAGCAAUUAAAUAAAGCCACCUUGCAGAAGUGACUGAUCUGCUUG
rnacentral:lncRNA from 1 species